CCACCAGCGGGGUCGCUUUAUUCGACACGUGCUACGAUUUCUCCGGAUUAAGGAGUGUUAGGGUCCCAACGGUGUCGCUUCACUUCGGUGCUGGAAAAGCUCUUGAUUUACCCGCCAAAAAUUACUUGAUUCCAGUAGACUCGGCUGGGACUUUCUGUUUCGCAUUCGCUCCAACGUCGUCGGCUAUGUCAAUUAUUGGCAACGUGCAGCAACAGGGAACACGUGUCAGUUUUGAUUUGGCGAACAAUCGCGUCGGGUUCACUCCCAAUAAGUGUUAGGCAUUUUUCG
rnacentral:lncRNA from 1 species